rnacentral:lncRNA from 1 species
AGUUGCUCAGAGGUCUGGAGGAGAAAGGCAUAGAGCCCUUUCGUCAUCCUUGUUGCUUGUCUCAACCACUUUUAAGUCUGCCAACAUCUUUCUGAUCCUUAAGUAAACAGGACAAAUCACUCUGCUGGGAGGCAUGAACUCUCUGCCCUACCUUGGCCUUCUGGAAGUAACGCUGAUUGAACAACAGACAUGCAGUGGGAGGCUGAGCUCCGUUUCUCAUGCCUGUGUGGAGUGCAACUGCGGAAGGUAAUUGUAAGAUUAUUGCAUCUGAAUCAGAACCACAGGAGCAUGCAGCCUUGGCUCACCUGGGCAGUCCUGAGAGUCUGCAGGGACAGCUGCUGGGCUUUCGGGGACUCGCAGGGCAGCAAAGCUAUUAGACCUUUAUACACUUGAUUUUGGUACUUGGGAUUGCCGUGGACCAAAGAAUCCAACAGAACCUGCACUUCCUCCUGGGUCUCUUCUGACUUAGACUUUGCCAAAAAUUCUGCUAUGGAUCGUACACCUGAGCAAAGAAGAGAGGAAAUGCUAAAUUGGAAGGGAUUUAUGAAAAAAUCCCCACUCAAGAUUACAUAAUAUGAAUAGGAUUAAGAGCUCUUCAACCAAGCCUGUUCAACCAAAGCA